GACGAACGCUGGCGGCGUGCUUAACGCAUGCAAGUCGAACGGAAAGGCCCUGCUUUUGUGGGGUGCUCGAGUGGCGAACGGGUGCGUAACACGUGAGUAACCUGCCCUUGACUUUGGGAUAACUUCAGGAAACUGGGGCUAAUACCGGAUAGGAGCUCCUGCUGCAUGGUGGGGGUUGGAAAGUUUCGGCGGUUGGGGAUGGACUCGCGGCUUAUCAGCUUGUUGGUGGGGUAGUGGCUUACCAAGGCUUUGACGGGUAGCCGGCCUGAGAGGGUGACCGGCCACAUUGGGACUGAGAUACGGCCCAGACUCCUACGGGAGGCAGCAGUGGGGAAUAUUGCACAAUGGGCGGAAGCCUGAUGCAGCAACGCCGCGUGCGGGAUGACGGCCUUCGGGUUGUAAACCGCUUUCGCCUGUGACGAAGCGUGAGUGACGGUAAUGGGUAGAGAAGCACCGGCUAACUACGUG
rnacentral:rRNA from 1 species